AUCAACGCUGGCGGCAGUGCCUAACACAUGCAAGUCGAACGGAGAAAAGGGUAGCAACUACAGUGAGUACUAGCUGGCGUACGGGUGAGUAACACGUGAUACCUACCUCUGAGUGGGGGAUAACCCGGGAAACCGGUGCUAAUACCGCAUAUUCUAUGGAACCUGCGGUUUCAGAAAGGAAGCAAUUCGCUCUAAGAGGGGGUCGCGGCUGAUUAGCUAGUUGGUAGGGUAAUGGCCUACCAAGGCGACUGAUCAGGUAGCCGGUCCUGAGAGGGACGGUACGGCCACACUGGAACUGAAACACGGUCCAGACUCCUACGGGAGGCAGCAGUGGGGAAUUUUGCGCAAUGGGGGCAACCCUGACGAAGCAAUGCCGCGUGGAGGAUGAAGUCAUUCGGGACGUAAAAUCCUUUCGACAGGGACGACCUCAGUUGACGGUACCGGUAGAAGAAGCCCCGGCUAACUCCGUGCCAGCAGCCGCGGUAAUACGAGGGGGGCAAGCGUUGUUCGGAAUUACUGGGCGUAAAGGGUGCGUAGGCGGCUUGCGGUAAGUUGACUGUGAAAACUCUGGGCUCAACUCAGAGCCUGCAGGCCGAAACUGGAGAUGCUUGGGUGCUGGAGAGGUAGCGUGAAUUCCCUGGUGUAGCGGUGAAAUGCGUAGAUAUCAGGAGGAACACCUGUGGCGAAGCGGCUUACUGGACACAUACCUGACGCUGAGGCACGAAAGCUAGGGGAGCAAACAGGAUUAGAUACCCUGGUAGUCCUAGCCCUAAACUAUGGAUGCUUGCUGUGGGGGGAUUGACAAUCCCUUGGUGGCGAAGCUAACGCAGUUAAGUAUCCCGCCUGGGGAGUACGGUCGCAAGGCUGAAACUCAAAGGAAUUGACGGGGGCCCGCACAAGCGGUGGAGUAUGUGGUUUAAUUCGACGUAACGCGAAGAACCUUACCUGGGCUCGAAGCGCUAGUGACAGGAGAUGAAAGUUCCUCUUCCGCAAGGGACUGCUAGUCGGAGGUGCUGCAUGGCUGUCGUCAGCUCGUGUCGUGAGAUGUUGGGUUAAGUCCCGCAACGAGCGCAACCCUAUCCGUUAGUUGCAUACAGGUCAAGCUGAGGCACUCUAGGGAACUGCCUCGUGAUAACCGGGAGGAAGGUGGGGAUGACGUCAAGUCCUCAUGGCCUUUAUGUCCAGGGCUACACACGUGCUACAAUGGUCGGCUACAAACAGUCGCAAACCCGCGAGGGGGAGCCUAAUCGGCAAAAAAGCCGGUCUCAGUUCGGAUUGGAGUCUGCAACUCGACUCCAUGAAGCUGGAAUCGCUAGUAAUCGCAUGAUCAGCAAGCUGCGGUGAAUACGUUCCCGGGCCUUGUACACACCGCCCGUCACAUCACGAAAGCCUGGUGAUACUAGAAGCCGUCAGUCAACCGCAAGGGAGAUAGCCGUCCAAGGUAUGACUGCAUGAUUGGGGUG
rnacentral:rRNA from 1 species